GCCCCCUUAGCUCAGCCCGGCAGAGCAGCUGACUCUUAAUCAGCGGGUCGUAGGUUCGAAUCCUACAGGGGGCA
rnacentral:tRNA from 3 species